GCGAUACUUGGUGUGAAUUGCAGAAUCCCGUGAACCAUCGAGUUUUUGAACGCAAGUUGCGCCCGAGACCUUUAGGUCGAGGGCACGCCUGCCUGGGCGUCAUGC
rnacentral:rRNA from 1 species